rnacentral:rRNA from 1 species
GUGUCAGCCGCCGCGGUAAUACGGAGGGUCCGAGCGUUAUCCGGAAUCAUUGGGUUUAAAGGGUCCGUAGGCGGGCCUGUAAGUCAGGGGUGAAAGUUUGUGGCUCAACCAUAAAAUUGCCUUUGAUACUGCAGGUCUUGAGUCAUGGUGGGGUUGCCGGAACAUGUGGUGUAGCGGUGAAAUGCAUAGAUAUCACAUAGAACACCGAUCGCGAAGGCAGGUGACCAACCAUGUACUGACGCUGAUGGACGAAAGCGUGGGUAGCGAACGGGAUUAGAUACCCCGGUAGUCCACGCCGUAAACGAUGGAUACUAGCUGUGGGGACUUCGGUCUCCGUGGCCAAGCGAAAGUGAUAAGUAUCCCACCUGGGGAGUACGUUCGCAAGAAUGAAACUUAAAGGAAUUGACGGGG